rnacentral:rRNA from 1 species
GGUUGCGAUCAUACCAGCACGAGUGCACCGGAUCCCAUCAGAACUCCGCAGUUAAGCGUGCUUGGGCGAGAGUAGUACUAGGAUGGGUGACCCCCUGGGAAGUCCUCGUGUUGCAACCU